rnacentral:rRNA from 1 species
GACGAACGUUGGCGGCGUGCUUAACACAUGCAAGUCGAACGGAAAGGCCCUGCUUUUGUGGGGUGCUCGAGUGGCGAACGGGUGAGUAACACGUGAGUAACCUGCCCUUGACUUUGGGAUAACUUCAGGAAACUGGGGCUAAUACCGGAUAGGAGCUCCUGCUGCAUGGUGGGGGUUGGAAAGUUUCGGCGGUUGGGGAUGGACUAGCGGCUUAUCAGCUUGUUGGUGGGGUAGUGGCUUACCAAGGCUUUGACGGGUAGCCGGCCUGAGAGGGUGACCGGCCACAUUGGGACUGAGAUACGGCCCAGACUCCUACGGGAGGCAGCAGUGGGGAAUAUUGCACAAUGGGCGGAAGCCUGAUGCAGCAACGCCGCGUGCGGGAUGACGGCCUUCGGGUUGUAAACCGCUUUCGCCUGUGACGAAGCGUGAGUGACGGUAAUGGGUAAAGAAGCACCGGCUAACUACGUGCCAGCAGCCGCGGUGAUACGUAGGGUGCGAGCGUUGUCCGGAUUUAUUGGGCGUAAAGGGCUCGUAGGUGGUUGAUCGCGUCGGAAGUGUAAUCUUGGGGCUUAACCCUGAGCGUGCUUUCGAUACGGGUUGACUUGAGGAAGGUAGGGGAGAAUGGAAUUCCUGGUGGAGCGGUGGAAUGCGCAGAUAUCAGGAGGAACACCAGUGGCGAAGGCGGUUCUCUGGGCCUUUCCUGACGCUGAGGAGCGAAAGCGUGGGGAGCGAACAGGCUUAGAUACCCUGGUAGUCCACGCUGUAAACGGUGGGUACUAGGUGUGGGGUCCAUUCCACGGGUUCCGUGCCGUAGCUAACGCUUUAAGUACCCCGCCUGGGGAGUACGGCCGCAAGGCUAAAACUCAAAGGGAUUGACGGGGCCCCGCACAAGCGGCGGAGCAUGCGGAUUAAUUCGAUGCAACGCGUAGAACCUUACCUGGGUUUGACAUGGAUCGGGAGUGCUCAGAGAUGGGUGUGCCUCUUUUGGGGUCGGUUCACAGGUGGUGCAUGGCUGUCGUCAGCUCGUGUCGUGAGAUGUUGGGUUAAGUCCCGCAACGAGCGCAACCCUUGUUCACUGUUGCCAGCACGUUAUGGUGGGGACUCAGUGGAGACCGCCGGGGUCAACUCGGAGGAAGGUGGGAAUGACGUCAAGUCAUCAUGCCCCUUAUGUCCAGGGCUUCACGCAUGCUACAAUGGCUGGUACAGAGAGUGGCGAGCCUGUGAGGGUGAGCGAAUCUCGGAAAGCCGGUCUCAGUUCGGAUUGGGGUCUGCAACUCGACCUCAUGAAGUCGGAGUCGCUAGUAAUCGCAGAUCAGCAACGCUGCGGUGAAUACGUUCCCGGG